UACGGAGGGUGCAAGCGUUAAUCGGAAUUACUGGGCGUAAAGCGCGCGUAGGCGGUUUGCUCAGUCGGAUGUGAAAGCCCCGGGCUUAACCUGGGAAUUGCAUUCGAUACUGGCAGACUAGAGUGUGGGAGAGGAAGGUGGAAUUCCAGGUGUAGCGGUGAAAUGCGUAGAUAUCUGGAGGAACAUCAGUGGCGAAGGCGGCCUUCUGGCCCAACACUGACGCUGAGGUGCGAAAGCGUGGGGAGCAAACAGG
rnacentral:misc_RNA from 1 species